rnacentral:lncRNA from 1 species
GUACUGGAAUACCUGAGUUUUGGCUGGGCACAGAACUGUCUGGAAUACAGACUGCAAUUCCCAGCCUUCUGUGCAGUUCUGUGUGGCCAUGUGACUAAGUUGUGGUCAAUAUGAGUCACGGAAGAAUAGAAGAACAACUCAGAGGAGGAAGAAGUCAGACAUAGCCAGACACGGCUGCUAGCAGUUCCACCAAUGAAAGAGGAGACCAGGAUGUUUAAAACAGGCAAACACAAGGUGCGAAAAACCAGAAGCGAAAACUUCUGAGGUCAUUUAAGCAAGGACUAUCGUUAUCCCCGGAAGCAGAGAGAAGUUCCCUUUGCCCAACAUCACACUGCAAGCACGUGUUGGAGCUGAGAUUCAAACCCAGGCAUCCAGGGUCCAGGGCCCAUGCUUUUAAUAUAUUCCAUAUCUUAGGAGAAUUUCCCCUAUUUAAACAAUAAAAGUGCAAAAAUCUUGUGGCUAGCCAAAA